rnacentral:rRNA from 1 species
AAGGGUGAGUAACGCGUAUACCCCUGUGUGGUAGCGGGGGAUAACUUUUGAAAAAAAUACCUAAUACCACAUAACAAUAUAUUGCGCGACUUUUUUGAUAAACGGGUGCAAGUGUCUGUCUACCAGAUGGACCUGUUUUGUUUUAGCUAGUUGGGGGGGUAACGGCUCUCCGGGCUACGAUUCCUAUCCGACCUGACAGGGUGAUAGGCCCCCCUGGGACUGACACACGGCCACUACUCCUACGGGAAGCAGGAAUACGGCAUCUUCGGCGAAGGACGCUCCCCCACCCAGCCCCGCCGCAUGAGUGAAGAAGGUUUUCUGAUCGUCUCCUCUGUUGUAAAACAAGAACGAGUGUGAAAGUGGAAAGUUCACGCUGUGACGGCAUCUUACCAGAAACGGACGGCUAACUACGUGCCACCUCCCUCGGAAAUACGUACGUCCCGAGCGUCAUCCGGAUUUAUUGGACGUAAAGCGAGCGCAGGCGGAUACAUAAGUCUGAAGUUAAAGGCUGUGGCUUAACCAUAGUACGCUUUGGAAACUGUUUAACUUGAGUGCACAAGGGUAGAGUGGAAUUCCAUGUGUAGCGGUGAAAUGCGUAGAUAUAUGGAGGAACACCGGUGGCGAUAUCGGCUCUCUGUUCUGUAACUGACGCUGAGGCUCGAAAGCGUGGGGAGCAAACUAGGAUUACAUACCCCUGGUAGUCCACG